UACGUAGGGUGCGAGCGUUAAUCGGAAUUACUGGGCGUAAAGCGUGCGCAGGCGGUUCGUUGUGUCGGUGGUGAAAGCCCCGGGCUCAACCUGGGAAUGGCCAUGGAAACUGGCGAACUGGAGUGUGGCAGAGGGGGGUGGAAUUCCGCGUGUAGCAGUGAAAUGCGUAGAGAUGCGGAGGAACACCGAUGGCGAAGGCAGCCCCCUGGGCUAGCACUGACGCUGAGACGCGAAAGCGUGGGGAGCGAACAGG
rnacentral:rRNA from 1 species